GUUGGAAACACAAAUAGUGCAAUUUGUGCAAUUGGAGAAUCUUGCCUUUUCUUGGCUACCCCCCCCCAAAAAAAAAUACAGACCAACAAACUUGUUAUGUACUCAUCAAAAUAUGCACUAUUGGGUACUCUGAACUCAUUAACAUUGACAUCUGCAACAGGAGGCAACAGGGAAAAAAAUCUUUCAUCAUCUUUUCCAAUAAAGAAUAGUUUGUGAAAUGAUGAGGGCAUUUUAUCUGCUUGCUGUGACCAGCGUGUGCACACAUAAACCAUAACAAGACUACAAAUAUAUUCCAGAAGGAAGUCAUUUAGUUAUGGACAAAAUAACAAAAAUCAGAACUUCAAAUGCUAUGGUCUUGAAUAUUAGACCAGAUUUAAUAGCUCCAUAUGUUAAGAGUUUUCUACCUGCCCCUCUUCAGCAAAGGGAUGGCUGGCUGCUCAACACACUCCUCCUCCCCUUUUCCUUUCUUUAAGCUGUGUACAGUGAAAAUUGUCUUUCCUGUAUUUUUGUUCUCUGGUAAUGUAAUAAGCAUGAUGGUGCCUUCUAUUAAUACAUCAUUCCAGUCUUGCUGGUAAUCUUGUAUAGUUUAUGAAUUGCUGUACUGCAAAGCCAAACAGCUGCAAAAUGUUGAAAGAAAUCAUUGAAAUGUGGAAAAAUUGCAGUAUCUUUAAAAUCAUUACUAUGGACACUUAUCUUGUUUUUUAGUUAACAACUUUGUUCUGUAUGGGAGGGAGUCUUGUGUUUAGAGGGAGAGGAAAGGAGGAAAUCACUUACUUGAGUAAGUUGACUUAGUUCCAAUGUGAAAGGUAAAAUGUAUCACUUUAAUGCUUGGAAAAGUCAUACAACUUGAUGUACAUUUUAGUGACAUUUUAAAAGCAGUCAGAUUCCAAAAAUGGCAAGUAGACCUAAAGGGAGGAUACUGCAAUUUUCAGAUAGAACAGCAGCUCUUAAGUGUUCGCAUUUUCUGUAGGGGGGGCAGGGAACUGUCACUCAUUUUGCACAAUUCUUGAACUGAUGUCAGCACCCGAAUGGCUCCUGAAUUUAAGUCUGGGACGACAUCUUUUUAUUUUUACAUGAAUCUUUAAACAAUUAUGUGAGCAAAAUUUGUGGCUACUGGAUUGUUUGUCUUUAUAGCAAGUUCCAGUAAACCAUAAGUAUGGCAAAGGUUAUCCAGUUUUAUGCUUGGAGCAAUCAGCACAUACCAGGUCCUGAUGUUUCUGGCAAGAAGUGGACUAAACAAGUAACCACUUAAAGCUGCUUGUUAACAUGGAAGACUUCUCCAUUCUGUCUUAGUAGAAACAAAAUAUGCACUUGACACAGUAGCAAAUGGGUUCUGAAUUAUGUGACUGUUUGCUAGUUAGGAAACUUGUUUUUUGUCAACUGGGCAACAUGGGUAAAGUUCGUCUUUUUUUCCCCUUUGAAUGAGGUCUUCCAUGUUUGAGGAAAUGUCUUGCACUAUUGCAUAUAUUUUGUGGACACAGAUUUUUGUAGUUCCCAUUUUGGAAGGCAUAAGAGCUUUUGUUUGGAACAGUUUUACACUUUCUGAUGUAUAGUACUUGAAGUUCUUGCUAGAAAUUACUUUGGGGUUUUGAAGCUUUUAUCUAAACUACUUUUAAGUAAGUGGUUUUACUGUCGGUGGUUUUUGCCCCAAGUGUAUUUUUCUUUGGUUACACUUUCUCCUUCCUAUUGGAUGUGUGUGUGUGUGUGUGUGUAUGUGUGUGUGUUUGUGUGUGUGUGUGUGUGUGCGUGCGGAUUUAUAGACACAUAAGCAUACACACUGCACAUAUAUUUCCAGUUCAAGAUAUUGCCCUCUAACCCAUGAAAACUGUUCUGGCAAUGAAAGAUAAUGGCAAAUGUUAAGUGUAAUAGAAAAUUGGAGCAAGAGCCAUUCAGCUUCAGUCUCUUCAUACCAAGUGAAACAUUAAAGCAUCAGAUGGAGAAGUUUACAUGGUGAUUGUUCACCUGCAGUACUGUGGACUUUUAACAUUUUGUCCCCUUUUCAGUGAAACAGUAAAAAUAUUCAUCAACCAUUACUGUUAAUUGCUGGUUUUAUUUUAUUUUGGAUGGUAAUAUUCUAUCAUGACACUAUUGCAACCAAAUUGGCUUUACCAUCUUGGCGGUAUAGAAGGUAUAGAAGACAAUGGAUUACCAUCUUUAUUGCUGUAAUGUGUUAAGCAUUAUAUGCUAGUAGAAUCUAGUUUAAUUGUUUCAGGUGGAAAGUAUUCUUUUGAGUUUCCAUUUUGAAUGUGUUUGGACUAAAACAAUAAACUACUGAUGUCUGCAGCAUUGA